UUGUGUAGCAUCUUACAUUGUGUAACAUCUUUUCAUAUAUAUAUAUAUUUAUAUGUUGCAUAACAUGUUGAACCAGAGGUGUGUUUGUUUUCUUUCGAUUGAUGUCGUGCUUGUGUUGCGCAAAAGGAGUGGAGAGCAUAUUCUUUGUUUCUCCUCCAUACGGUUUGGUACAUGUACUCCAGAUGAGAUACACAGUUCCCUUGUGUUACGGUUUCAAAGACUUCCCCGGUGUUAUUGUUACUGUUUAAUUGACAAUUUAUACUAUAUGCCUUAAAUAACGGUCAAACCAGUCGGGGUCAUUUUUGACCCCAGAGGACAGCAGGUGUAUAGUCAACGGGAGGACAUUACGAGGGUUAAAGGCUUAGGGUUAGGUAAAUUGGGCUUUAUUGGGUUUAGAUGCAGAACCGUACUAGGGUUGGAAACUGGGUAACAGCCAUCCCACUCCAACUUGUGCCUGUGACUAGUGCUGGAUACUGGACCAACUGUGUGAGCCCCCCCAGGUACACAGAAAGUAGAUCCCUUAAACCCAACAACAACACGGCAUAUUCCAUGUAAAUGAGCUCUUCCUAUGAUGUUAGGUCAGGGUUUAUGAAUUGUGUCAUUAAACAUAGCUGUACCCAAUGAUCAGAAGGCCCGUGGGCGUGGACCCUGGGCGCGUGUCUCCUCUUGCCGCUGUCCGGUUGAGAGUUGGUCCUGGGAGGCGGAGCGUCAGCUGUCCAGCGUUCUGCUUUGAGAUUCAAACAUUCACCUCCGUCGUGGUCGUCGAGCGUGAAGGACUCUUGGUCCUCGCCGCCCCCAAACUCCCUGAUGACCUCCCCGGCCCCGUGGCGAUGAAGCAGCGGAAGUCCCGCUCGGCGUCCUCGAAGGCCACGAACCUCGACCUGCGGCUCUCGAACGAGCCGAGCGGCGCGAUCUUCGGCAGCGCGUCAUGCAGCUCCUUGCGAGUUGGCGCCGCCGCGGGAGAGCGUCCUCUAUGGGAGUGUCUCCUCUGGGCUCCGGGACGGUAUUCUCCUGUGACCUUUGACCGCUGUGCUCCAUUGGAUGAUUUGCAUCAGUGUUGGAACCAGUUCAUUUAUAUACGUGAUGUGCUCUCUAGCAACACCUAGUGGCGUUUGUGGAUAGCUGCACUAGGUAGAUUAUAAACACGGAGUAACCGGAAGUGACAUUCAGGAAGUCCGCUUUUGGCCCACGAGCUCACGGAGUUACAAUCUGUUGACAAUCUGCGCAAUCCACGCCUUAAGGUCCACUAAAUCGGCUUCAUCCUUUUACAAAUUAUUACAUUUUUCUGCAUUAAAUCUGCCAAACACUACAACUGUCUGUUCCUUGGAGAAUACGGUGCUGGAUAAUGUAUUGCUGUGGCUGAGUUGGUUGCAACUUAGCAUUGUGGGUAAUGUGGUAAGGUCCAAUCGGAUCAGGGCUCUGUACCGAAGCACUGUGAGGGUGAUUUGGACCUCUGUUGGUGUUACUUUCAUUCCUCCUGGACUGCAGCAGUGGAGACAAAUGAGGUGCAGUGCCGUUUCCAGCCACACCGACACGCCGUCGGACCGGCAGCUUCUGAAACGGCCGUGAACGGGUGGCCCUCUGAACGCCGACUGAACAUCCGCCAUCUUGGAUCCACGUGACGCGGCUCCUGGCUGCCAAAGGACCGGAUGACACAUCGCUGUCGCUUCAAUGCACUAUGUAUUAUUAUUUUUUAUGAUAUAUAAUAAUUCAUAUUCAUAUGUCACCCAAUGUUUAUGUAAUAUACUGUUAUUAGAUAUUAAUUGAUAUAGUAUAUAUAAUACAUCUAUUAUCAUAUAUAUAUAUUAUGUUAGCCAGUCGACUGCUGAAACACCAUCUCUCUGUGCUGUUUGAUGUGAUGCAGAUGGUGAGUGCAGGGCCGCUUGGAGAUCUAAUAAAUAUCCGCAUUGAGCCCCACGGGAUACGAGCAAUUGUCAUUACAAUGGCAACAUGAAGACUAUUAGGCAGUAGUCUUCAGAUUUAAAGUGUUUUCUUAUAUUUUUAGAACAAAAAUCAAACAGAAAACAUCAACCAGACAAUCAUAUUCAAUUGUAUUCUUAUUUCUCUGUGGAUAUUUAUUGUACUAUCAACAAUUAGUAUGUAUUUCUUUGUUUCUUUUGUUUUUGUAUCAUUCUAAAUCAUACCUAUUGAUUUGCUGGUGUGCCUAGUACAGGCAAUGCAGACAAUUAAUAGUGAGAAGAGUGAAUAUACUCUUAGACAUU